UCCCAAGCAAACCUGCGUGAAUGGAACGUGAGCUCCUAAGUGCUGUGCACUGCUGAUAGCUUUUACAGCUGUGUGCGUAAGGACUGCCUAAGGACUGCACAGCACAUCCAUCUGCUGCGUCAGGGCAGGAGAGAACCUGCAGCUGUCUGCUCUGUCAGUCUGAACUCCGGAAUGCUGAGGUGUGAGGACAGCUGUCCUUCACCGCUUUGAGAAAAAUGCUGUGCAAGUUGGAGGGCGUUUUUAGUGACGUUUUCACCUUGGCCUAAGCAGCUGAGUUCAGCCAGCAAGCUGUUUGUUUCUCUGCGGUGUGGUGGAGAAGAAGAGGUGUAGAUAGCUGUACAACUUCUGUAGUGCUGUGCAUGUGAACAACAAACACAACCAACCGGUUUUCCCAGAAUGACUGUGUGCAACUCAGCAGUGAUUGCUAUGAAGGAUUCCCCUUUGGUCAGUGUGUGCCAGUGACAGCACAAGAGCCUCAGGGUGGGCGCUGCCCUGUUUGGGUGACAGCUCAGCGUAGUUUACUCAGCCAGGCUGGUUGUACGUGUGAGCAGACAGACACUU